AAAGUCGUAACAAGGUCUCCGUUGGUGAACCAGCGGAGGGAUCAUUACCGAGUUCUACGCUCAAAACCCCCUGUGAACAUACCGAUUACAGUUGCUUCGGCGGGCUGCCCGACCCCCGCGCGCGUAUAAAACGUGUCGCGGGAGGCCGGGCCGCCUUCAGACAGGCCCGCCGGAGGUUUUAAACUCAACGUCUACGCUUUUGCCACGGCAGUCUGAGUGUUAUAAAAAUAAGUUAAAACUUUCAACAAUGGAUCUCUUGGUUCUG
rnacentral:misc_RNA from 1 species